AUGACUUUCAUCAUCAUCUUCAUCUGGACACUUUUUAUCCAAGGUGUCAGUGGACAGAUAACUGUGACUCAAACUCCCGCUGUUAAAACUGUUCAGACUGGUGAAUCUGUCACUAUAAACUGCAAAACAAAUACACAAGUGAGCAACUAUUGUACUGGUUCAUAUACUUGUAUGGCCUGGUACCUGCAGAAACCUGGAGAAGCUCCUAAACUCUUGAUUCAUUCUGCAAGUCAAAGACUCUCAAACACUCCAUCAAGAUUCAGUGGCAGCGGAUCAAGAACAGAUUUCACUUUGACCAUCAGUGGAGUUCAGACUGAAGAUUCAGGAGAUUAUUACUGUCAGAGUGCUCACAGUGGUCCAGUGUUGACACAGUGAUAAAGAGUGAUACAAAAACCUCUUUCAGUCAGACUCACAGUGACUGCACUUAUACACCUGACAGAUGCUGCAGAUGAUCAUACAACACAAUAACACACAACACUGAUCACACAAAUAACACAACAUCAUCUUAUGAUCAACAGAAAUCAUGCUAAGGUUUAUACAGGUAUGUAUUUUUGAUAAGAUAAACACAGAUUAUUUUAACAUCUAUCUGUUCAUACUGCUUUUUCAUCAAACCAUAUGCAGACUCCUCAACUACAAAUGAGAAUAAAAGAGAGGAACAUUUUUCACAAAAUCUGUUUAUUCCAGAAAACCUUUAUACUUUGUUAUGAA